rnacentral:rRNA from 1 species
GGCAGUGGAUUUUUCUCAAAUGUUGAGAUAAUCAUAUAGGCCAGAAUCACUAGCCAAGAAGCACCUAGGCACUGCAUCCCGACCCUCACGGCCACAUCGGCUGCAGAGGUAUGAAGGGCGGUUACUCGGGUUGAAACAGUUACUGAGGAAUAGGAAGGAGGAAUAAAGUGAAAGAUAACAGAGACGGUGGAGACAAUGCCAGUGCUGCAGAGGUCACAAAACAGUAGCCCGAUGUGAGUGCACAUCACAACUCAGCUUAAGUAGAUCAAUUUAUUUAUCAAAACAAGCCGAUUACAUCCUAACUAAUCGACUUGAACACAUGAACCGGACUCUGUAACAGCCUAACAGGGCCCAUCAAUUGGCAUAAACACAUCGAAAGACAGCCAGAGGAGGAACUCUUGCUACAAAACUUGGAAGAUUCAGGUAUUUGACAACUAGGUAGAAGAACUCCUGGCCAUCCCCACCAGUCAGUGCCUCCUCUUCCCUGCCUUGGCCUUCCAGCACAUCCUGCUAGGUGUUCUUGACUUCUAAUCCGGUUACUUCUGGUUGCCUCCUCAACACUCAGCAACAUGAAGGCCAUCAGUGAGUUUAAUUCGGUUGUAUGUGCUCCGACAUUGACAGAAAAACAAGAGAAAGCAAGUUAUUCAUAUAGCCUGAAAAAAACUCUGCAAUGAACACGAAGAGAAGGGGAAAAGAUCGAACCUUCUUCAGGCGAUUUGGGACAUCACGACAGGAAGACCACGGGGAUUUGGUUGAUACGACUAGAUGACCGUCCAGUAGACCAGCUCCUCGACAGUGGGCUCCUUUUCACUCCCUUGCCGCUCCUCUGCGACAACUGCCGGAGCUGUCUCCUGGUCACGGAUGUUCUGCGCCUCCGUCACGACGAGGCAGCCGCGGUGGAAGGAAGAGGGAGAUGGGCCUCGCCGACGGCGCAGGGCGAGGCUGCGGUCCAGGAUCGCCGACGACCAACCAGCAGCCUCGGAGUCGUCGGCAAGAAGGAGAUCCGCGCAGCGAUCUCUCUUCUUCCCGGCGGGGUCGCGCAUCUGCGCCGGCUGGAC